ACUCAAAGGAAUUGACGGGGGCCCGCACAAGCGGUGGAUCAUGUGGUUUAAUUCGAAGCAACGCGCAGAACCUUACCUGGGUUUGACAUCCUCUGACAUGCGUAGAGAUACGUACUUCAUAGCAAUAUGACAGAGAGACAGGUGCUGCAUGGCUGUCGUCAGCUCGUGUUGUGAAAUGUUGGGUUAAGUCCCGCAACGAGCGCAACCCCUGCCUUUGGUUGCCAUCAUUAAGUUGGGCACUCCAGAGGGACUGCCGUCGUUAAGACGGAGGAAGGUGGGGAUGACGUCAAGUCCUCAUGGCCUUUAUACCCAGGGCUACACACGUGAUACAAUGGUUGGUACAGAGGGUAGCGAAGCGGCGACGCGGAGCUAAUCUCAAAAAGCCAAUCUCAGUUCGGAUUGGAGUCUGCAAUUCGACUCCAUGAAGUUGGAAUCGCUAGUAAUCGCGGAUCAGAACGCCGCGGUGAAUACGUUCCCGGGCCUUGUACACACCGCCCGU
rnacentral:rRNA from 1 species